CUACACUGUAAAAAAUAAUUCAGUGGCUUAGUAAAUUUCACAAAAAUAAAGAGCUAUAUUAACUUAAUAAAAUCUUUUGAAAUCAUUUAAGUGAUAUUUUGAGUGGGUCAGAUUAAAAAGAAUAAUUAAAAAUCCAACAAAUAAUUUCUCUAAAAUUUACAUAUAUUAUUUAAGUUUAUGUAAUGAAAAUAAAUAAGUAUUUAACUAACUAAUUAUAUUUUUUAUAUACCUUCAAUAUUUCUGGUGAAUUCUAAUAGAAAUAUUUGAUAAUUAUUUACUUGUACUGAUCUGUUUUAGAAACUAAAAUUAUUAAGUAUUUCCAACCAAUUUUCCUAAAUAAAGUUCCAGCUUAAUAAAUGACAGUUUAAAUAAAUUGAGUAAAUUUCGCGGCUAAAGUGAUCACGUGUGCAGCUCCGCAGGAAAAAAAAAUCUGCUUUCCUCAGCAGCGACGACGACUAGCCAUACACCUCACAGCUCCUGUUUCGUAGCUUAAUCGAAGUCACCUGAAGGACGGCUUUCCUCAGCAACGGCAAGACCCGCACUCCUCUCAUAUUGUGAAGUUUAACAAGUUUCGCGGCUCAAACAAGAGGCACCUGUCACUGAAGGACUGCUUUUCUCAGCAACGACGUGAACAGCAUUACUCGAAUUUCCUGGUUCAGCUGAUCUACCCGUCUUCGUACAAGCAGAGUUGGCAGAGGAGGUCAUAAAAAUCUACAUCCUUCGGAACAAUAAUGGGGCAGUCAGCGACGUAAUCUUGGGAAUCUCAGCAGAGCCUGCUGCCAUCUUUCAGGAGUCACAUUGGAUUUGAGAUAUCCCAAGACCCACAAAUACAGGUCCUUCUCCAAAAAAUAGCAUAUUGUGAUAAAGUUCAUUAUUUUCCAUAAUGUAAUGAUAAAA